rnacentral:rRNA from 1 species
AUUGAACGCUGGCGGCAUGCCUUACGCAUGCAAGUCGAACGGCAGCGCGGACUUCGGUCUGGCGGCGAGUGGCGAACGGGUGAGUAAUGUAUCGGAACGUACCAUUCAGUGGGGGAUAACGCAGCGAAAGUUGCGCUAAUACCGCAUAUUCUGUGCGCAGGAAAGCAGGGGAUCGCAAGACCUUGCGCUGAUUGAGCGGCCGAUAUCAGAUUAGCUAGUUGGUGAGGUAAAGGCUCACCAAGGCGACGAUCUGUAGCGGGUCUGAGAGGAUGAUCCGCCACACUGGAAGUGGGACACGGUCCAGACUCCUACGGGAGGCAGCAGUGGGGAAUUUUGGACAAUGGGCGCAAGCCUGAUCCAGCCAUGCCGCGUGGGUGAAGAAGGCCUUCGGGUUGUAAAGCUCUUUCGGCCGGGAAGAAAUCGUAUGGGUUAAUACCCUGUGCGGAUGACGGUACCGGCAUAAGAAGCACCGGCUAACUACGUGCCAGCAGCCGCCGUAAAAC